rnacentral:rRNA from 1 species
AAUAGAUACCCGGGUAGUCCACGCCGUAAACGUUGGGCGCUAGAUGUGGGGACCAUUCCACGGUUUCCGCGUCGUAGCUAACGCAUUAAGCGCUCCGCCUGGGGAGUACGGCCGCAAGGCUAAAACUCAAAGGAAUUGACGGGGGCCCGCACAAGCGGCGGAGCAUGCGGAUUAAUUCGAUGCAACGCGAAGAACCUUACCAAGGCUUGACAUAUGCGAGAACGCUCUAGAAAUAGAGAACUCUUUGGACACUCGUAUACAGGUGGUGCAUGGUUGUCGUCAGCUCGUGUCGUGAGAUGUUGGGUUAAGUCCCGCAACGAGCGCAACCCUCGUCGCAUGUUGCCAGCACGUAAUGGUGGGAACUCAUGUGAGACUGCCGGGGUCAACUCGGAGGAAGGUGGGGAUGACGUCAAAUCAUCAUGCCCCUUAUGUCUUGGGCUUCACGCAUGCUACAAUGGCCGGUACAAAGGGCUGCGAAACCGCAAGGUGGAGCGAAUCCCAAAAAGCCGGUCUCAGUUCGGAUUG